GUUACCAUUUUGACCCAAGUAAAUCGACACUCGGGGCCUACCUAAAAAUAGACCAAACUUGAGAAAAAAUUCUGAUUUUACCCAGAAUUUUUCUACCAUUUCCAACAGAAAGUUGCACCCACAUAACUUUAAAUUCACCUGAACAAAACUGAAUGAACCUGAACUGACUCUAUUCGAUUUGGCUAAUUUCAAUUUGGCUAAUUCUUCUGUAAUAGCUAGGGAUAAGAAGGGCAGCUCAACAUGCUAGGAAUCUACUUGCAGAGAUCAUGGAUCAUAAGCAUCAUCACCGCUUUGUUUCUGACACUGAUCUAUGUCUUCUCAUCACUAUUGCUAAAGCUCCUUCAUCAAAACAAAGACAUCUCUGUCCUUGCCGGGAACUACUGUAGAUGGGUAAUUCUUCAAUUGCAUACGCCCUCAACUUUCCUAUCCAAUCCAAUCUCGAAGCAAAGUUUGGGUCAUGACUGCAGUUUCAAUAGUAGCUUUGGGAAUUCAUGUGUUGUUGAAUUGGGUUCUGAUGACAAAUCUUAGAAACAAUCUUCUUGGCGCUGCCAUAACUGGGAACAUUUCAUGGUGGAUUCUUGUCUUGGCUCAGAUAGUGUAUGUGAUUUCUGGAUUUUUCCCGAUGCGUGGACUGGUUUUUCCUUAUUGGCCUUCAGGUCGUUGACAGGUUUCUUGAAGCUCUUACUUGCCUCCUGUAAUGUUAUGCUUGGAGCUAUGGUAUUACACCGCAGUGAUCCUCAUGGUGGGAGCUUUGCAGAAUCCAGCAAUUGCUGUAGUUGUCUCUCAUAGCACUCUCUUGAUAUGGGAAAGUCAUUGGGAAAUUGUUUUUGCCUUUGAAUCAAAAGUUCACAUCAUUCAAACUACAGUAAACUGUGCAAACUAUUGCAAUGAGAAUUUCUCACAACAUAUGAGCUGCAACAACCGUGAUUUUGAUAUCGUCUUCUUGAAAUUGCAGGGAUUGCAGUAGGUGCAGGCUGGCAGUUUCUGGUUGCCUUUAUAGACAUAGGGAGCUACUAUAAGAUAAUUGUUUGAAGCAAGCCACCAAACAACAUCCCUGCCCAGAUGCCCUUUGCACUGAGGAUGUUGGUUGGUGGCUUGCUUCAAACGGUUAUCUUAUUGUUCAUCAUAAUUCGAACAAACUGGAACAAAGAGAUAAAAAUCAAGACAUCUCAGUCUCAAACUUUUAUAGUGUUGGUCAUGAAACAGAGCAUUGUUUCUAAUGCUAUAUAGGGAUCUGCAAGCUGAGCAGCGUGUUAGAACAUGGGGUGGUCCAACUGAGCUUCAACGAACUUCAACUUGUUCAACGCAACGGAUUUGUGAAAUAUAAACCAGUAGUGCUUGAAUAAUGCAUGAGAGGAAGAUGUGGAAAACUUCUAUUUUUCUAUGUCAUUCUGAGGGUUUUUUUUUUUUGGAUUUGUUUACUUACUUUAUCAACCCUUCAUAUUUUUGUUUAGUAUUGUCCAUUUUUUAAUAAAGCUUCGCCCUCUUUUCUUUA